rnacentral:lncRNA from 1 species
UAAGAUCAGGAACUUUUUAGGGGAUAUUAGGAAGAAUAAUUUCUCAUAAAGAAAUAACUGAAAUUGAUAAUUAAAAAUAAAAUUCUAAAUUCUAAUAAAAAUAAAGAGUAGUUUUAAUAAAAAUUAAAAACAUAAAAUAAUAAAUAAAUGUUUUUAGACAUCUUCAUUACUAGAUGGUUCGCGAGGUGGGACUGGCGAUGAGAUGUGGAGGUGCUGACAAAU